rnacentral:misc_RNA from 1 species
UUUCCGUAGGUGAACCUGCGGAAGGACCAUUCAUAAUAAAGUGUUUUAUGGCACUUUUUAAAAGUCCAUAUCCACCUUGUGUGCAAUGUUAGAUCUCGUCAAUCUUGGCGAGAUUUUUAUACAUCAACUCAUUCUUUAACUAAUUUGUCUGAAAAAUAUUAUGAAUACUUAAUUCAAAAUACAACUUUCAACAACGGAUCUCUUGGCUCUC